GGAUAUGUGAACAAUCUGACUGUGUCAUCUGUCACCCCGUUCAUUGCCAGGGUUGGUUUGGCUGACCUGGCUGGCUAGACUCCUGUCCCCUGCCUCCCUCACAUGUGCUUCCCUCAAGAGGACCUUCCUCAAACAGAGGCACAUUGGUCUUUGGGAAAGGGUAUAUGGUAACUGUAUUUCCCAGCUAGAAACUGUAAAUGAGCUCUUGAAAUAUUUUAGAUCCUUUUCUAGAAUAAUUUUUGUACCUUCAAUUUCUUUUCUUU
rnacentral:snRNA from 1 species